rnacentral:rRNA from 1 species
AGAGUUUGAUCAUGGCUCAGGAUGAACGCUGGCGGCGUGCUUAACACAUGCAAGUCGAACGGACAUGUCUUUCGGGAUAUGUUAGUGGCAGACGGGUGCGUAACACGUAGGUGACCUGCCCUGGAGUGGGGAAUAACUAUCCUAACGGAUAGCUAAUACCGCAUAUGCUCGGUGAUUCAUUUUGCCGAGUAAAGUCGAAAGGCGCUUCAGGAUGGGCCUGCGGCGGAUUAGGUAGUUGGUGGGGUAACGGCCUACCAAGCCGAUGAUCCGUAGGGGGCGUGAGAGCGUGGCCCCCCACACUGGCACUGAGAUACGGGCCAGACUCCUACGGGAGGCAGCAGUGAGGAAUAUUGCGCAAUGGGCGAAAGCCUGACGCAGCAACGCCGCGUGAGGGACGAAGGCCUUCGGGUCGUAAACCUCUUUUCUGGGGAAAGAGCAAGGACGGUACCUCAGGAAUAAGUCUCGGCUAACUACGUGCCAGCAGCCGCGGUAAAACGUAGGAGGCGAGCGUUAUCCGGAUUUACUGGGCGUAAAGCGCACGCAGGCGGCUUCGUUAGUCGGGUGUGAAAAGCUCCUAGCUUAACUGGGAGAGGCCAUUCGAUACUGCGAGGCUUGAGGUUGGGAGAGGGGUGUGGAAUUCCCGGUGUAGUGGUGGAAUGCGUAGAUAUCGGGAGGAACACCUGUGGCGAAAGCGGCACCCUGGCCCACACCUGACGCUGAGGUGCGAAAGCGUGGGGAGUAAACAGGAUUAGAUACCCUGGUAAUCCACGCUGUAAACGAUGUCAACUAGGUGUCGGUAGCUUUACGCUAUCGGUGCCGAAGCAAAUCNAGGUAAGUUGACCGCCUGGGGACUACGGCCGCAAGGCUGAAACUCAAAUGAAUUGACGG